rnacentral:lncRNA from 1 species
GUUUAGGCCACCGAGAUCCUGGGCUCAUCUGUGACAGCAGUUCGCAUUGCCUUGACUAAUCAAGCUUCGGAGGUGAAGACCAAAGGCCCCCUGCCCUCGGGAGUUUGCAGGACACGGGGAGAUGGCAAACGUAGAGGCUGUAACCCAAGAUGAGAAAACUGAGGCUCAGACGGUUGGUGAUGCGCUCGAGGGUGCGUGGUCAGGAAGGUCGGAGCUGAGCCUGUCCGUUGCCCUGCCCUGCCUUUCCUGGGCUGCCUUUUGACUGGAUCCCAUGUCAGUCGACUUUCUGCUCCUCUCUCAGCUUUGCGCUUUGUCUGCGCGCUAAUGGGUACCAUCUAGCAAGCAGCUGUACUUCCCAGCAUCCCACCCCAUCCUCUUGGGGGUCCCUGCUGCUUCCCCAGUGACCAUUCAGAGGCCAGGGGUCUGUUUUUGUGGGGGAGGGGGAGGGACAUAAAUCACAUCUUGACCCAUCACCACCCUCCUUCCUCAUACAAAGACAGAUGAAGGUCUUUUAAAUUCCCCCCCCCCCCCCCCCCCCCNCUCACGGCAAUGCUGGAUCCUUAACCCACUGAGCAAGGCCAGGGAUCAAACUCGCAACAUCAUGGUUCCUAGUUGGAUUCGUUAACCACUGCACCACGACGGGAACUCCCCAGAGAAGUGUUGAAGGCAGGAGAAAAGUACCUCUGAAAUAAUCCAAAUAUCAGGGACUUGAAGGCUAAGAAAAACUCUUGACUUUUUUCCUGAAUGCAAGAGAGAUCUGUCGAGUGAUCUUGAAUUUCUUACCACAUGAAUCGAUCCACAGGCAGUGUACCCAGCACUCUGCUGGGGAAAUAAAUCAUCCCUCACUCAGCUGUCA